rnacentral:rRNA from 1 species
CGUGUAGGCGGCCAGACAGGUCUGCUGUGAAAACUCGAGGCUCAACCUCGAGACGCCGGUGGAAACCGUUUGGCUAGAGUCCGGAAGAGGAGAGUGGAAUUCCUGGUGUAGCGGUGAAAUGCGCAGAUAUCAGGAAGAACACCCGUGGCUAAGGCGGCUCUCUAGUACGGUACUGACGCUGAGACGCGAAAGCGUGGGGAGCGAACA